rnacentral:misc_RNA from 2 species
ACACCUCAACUCUCAUGGUUUACCAUGAUGGGCUUGGACUUUGGAGGUCUUGCUGGCCAGUGGGCCAGCUCCUCUCAAAUGAAUUGGCUUGCCAGUGUUUGGUGGCAUCACGGGUGUGAUAACUAUCUACGCUUGUGGUUUUCCACCAGGUAACCUCCAGUGAUGGAGGUUCGCUGGAGCUCACAAAUGUCUCUCCUUGCGAGGACGAUUUCUGAAC